GUUAACUUUUCUUUCAGCAAGUGAUUCUCUUCCCCCCUUGAUCUGCCUAUAAAUCCACCAAGCACACACUUAAAGGACACGGUCACAUUUACAUUAAAAAAAAAAAAAGAAGAAAAGAAAGAAAAUAAUAUCAAUGGAAAUGAUGGCAACCGAACGUGUUUGUAUGUUCACUGCAACUUCUGCAACACCAUUUUGGCGCCUUGUGGCCUUCCCUUAGUACAGAGCCAGUGUCCUCUCUUUUCUUUCUUUCUACCAAGAACUUGAACUUGUUUGGGUGGGGGUUCUGGUCAAAAGAUAUGUUUAUUCACCAAAUUUACUUAAGGAAUUAGAACAAAACCAGAGAUCAUGGGAAAGCUAUGUGAACUGGAGGAACAAGUCUGCUCCCAGAGACUGCCAUGGUGGCAUGCUUGCAGCCUCCUUUGCUUUAGUCGUCGAGAUAUUGGAGAGUCUGGCAUUUCUAGCUAAUGCAUGCAAUUUGGUGUUAUAUCUGAGGCAAUACAUGCACAUGUCCCCUUCAUAUAUUUUGUAAAUAUAAGACUAAUUAAUUUAGUUUCCAACAUAUAUUUUUUAUUAUCAACAAAUAGUAGUUUAUUAAAAUUUAGUCACAAAGAAGCAAAGAGUGCCCACUCUGUUGGCAAUCACUUGCUUUGAAAGAUCCUGCCAGGUAUAUGUUCACUUGCAACACAUUUUCCCACUUCCUUUCAAAUACUUGUUACAAGCUAGCCAUUUAUGGGUAUCAUUAGCAUUUUCAAUUUUCAUCAAUUGCUUAUUCUUUUGUAGCCAAGAGCUUCUAGCUGCAGUGGAAGAUGAGAAAUGCAUGAGAUAAAGAAACAUUGCUAAUUCUCCUGCCCCCCUUGGACAACUUAAUGAAAGCCACGGCACAAGCUUUCGGGUCCAAUUCCUAAAGCUCUCAAGGACAGAUUUGCAAUUAAGGUUUUCAAUACAAUAUUUCAAAUUACCUGUAAGUUUGCACAUUCUAAAUGGCCUUACGUGACUGUAAGUUUGGACUUAUGAAUUAUUAGUGUAUUUUAAAUAAAAUAUUUUAUAUUACUAUUAAUUAAUAAUUCAUUUUUUAAUUAAUUUCUAUCAAUAAUUCCUACUACUAUUAUUAUAUAUUCUUCUUUUCUAUGUAUCUAUAUAAUCGAAUAGUAA